UCCAUUGAUUAUUCAUAGGGCUUCUGAUUGGAGCUCAUUAAUGCAGGAUCAAGUGGGAAGUAAAUUUUGUAAGAGCAAACGGAGGAGUGAUGACGGUCCCACUGAGCACGCCAAAGAGUGUUAAUGGAGCAGGCUGGCAGUGUGAGAGCCGAGCUGCAUGAGCAGCGUUCUGGUGUGGAUGAGGGGAAUGAGCUGUAAACUGUUUGACACAGGCGCCACCUUGUGAUUGAUGACAUGCUAUGCUGCAAUGAAGACGUGUGCUAGUUUUAUCACAAGGGUCACAUGGGGUAUUUACAGAAUGGCA